rnacentral:rRNA from 1 species
UGAGUCCGAGUCUCCACGGAGACGAAGUGGCGGUCAUUAAGCUUCCUAGAAAAGCUCUAACCACGUUAAUCUUUAGUUGCCUGUACCCGAAACCGACACAGGUAGGGGGGUAGAGAAUACCAAGGGGCGCGAGAUAACUCUCUCUAAGGAACUCGGCAAAAUGACCCCGUAACUUCGGGAGAAGGGGUACCACUGAGAAGUGGUCGCAGUGAAGAGGCCCAGGCGACUGUUUACCAAAAACACAGGUCUCCGCCAAGUCGCAAGACGAAGUAUGGGGGCUGACGCCUGCCCAGUGCCGGAAGGUUAAGGAAGUUGGUCAGGGAUUCGUCCUGAAGCUAACGACCGAAGCCCCGGUGAACGGCGGCCGUAGCUAUAACGGUCCUAAGGUAGCGAAAUUCCUUGUCGGGUAAGUUCCGACCCGCACGAAAGGCGUAACGAUCUGGGCACUGUCUCGGAGAGAGACUCGGCGAAAUAGGAAUGUCUGUGAAGAUACGGACUACCUGCACCUGGACAGAAAGACCCUAUGAAGCUUUACUGUAGCUUGGAAUUGGGUUCGGGCUUGGUUUGCGCAGGAUAGGUGGGAGGCGAAGAAGGUUUGCUUGUGGGUGAACCUGAGCCAACGGUGAGAUACCACUCUAACCAGGCUAGAAUUCUAACUCUAACCCGUCAACCGGGGAGAGGACAGUUUCAGGUGGGCAGUUUGACUGGGGCGGUCGCCUCCUAAAAGAUAACGGAGGCGCACAAAGGUUCCCUCAGGCUGGUUGGAAAUCAGCCAACGAGUGCAAAGGCAGAAGGGAGCUUGACUGCGAGACUUACGAGUCAAGCAGGGUGGAAACACGGUCUUAGUGAUCCGACGGCACCGCGUGGAAGGGCCGUCGCUCAACGGAUAAAAGUUACUCUAGGAUAACAGGCUGAUCUCCCCCAAGAGUUCACAUCGACGGGGAGGUUUGGCACCUCGAUGUCGGCUCAUCGCAACCUGGGGCGGAAGUACGUCCCAAGGGUUGGGCUGUUCGCCCAUUAAAGCGGUACGUGAGCUGGGUUCAGAACGUCGUGAGACAGUUCGGUCCAUAUCCGGUGUAGGCGCAAGAACAUUGAGAGGAGUCUUCCUUAGUACGAGAGGACCGGGAAGAACGCACCGCUGGUGUACCUGUUAUCGUGCCAACGGUAAACGCAGGGUAGCCAAGUGUGGAGUGGAUAACCGCUGAAAGCAUCUAAGUGGGAAGCCCACCUCAAGAUGAGUGUUCUCAUGGAGUCAUCCAGUAAGGUCACGGGAAGACGACCCGUUAAUAGGCAGUAGGUGGAAGUUCAGCAAUGGAUGAAGCCGAGCUGUACUAACAGACC